GCGUGAGUGAUGAAGGCCUUAGGGUUGUAAAGCUCUUUUGUCCGGGAAGAUAAUGACGGUACCGGAAGAAUAAGACACGGCUAACUUCGUGCCAGCAGCCGCGGUAAUACGAAGGUGUCUAGCGUUGUUCGGAAUCACUGGGCGUAAAGCGCGCGCAGGCGGACUAUCAAGUCUGGGGUGAAAGCCCGAAGCUCAACUUCGGAAUUGCCUUGGAAACUGAUAGUCUGGAGUGCAAUAGGGGAUAGCGGAAUUCCAAAUGUAGAGGUGAAAUUCGU
rnacentral:rRNA from 1 species